GGCAAGAACUCAUUGUGGCAAGACUGAUUAUAGGUUUGCCACAGGGAGGUGCAUUGGGAUGAACUGUAGCUUUUCAGGAGCUUUAGAUUCCUCUGCUUUCAAUCCAGUAAGAAUCUUGAAGAAUAAAGAUCGCAGACGCGACGGCGGCCGGAAGUGGCGUCACGAGAUUUGGAGCUCGCGGGAAAACUUGUAUGUGCAUCUGGGCUGAGGGCGCGCGCGCGCGGGGCACCUGCAGGUAUCGGACGCCGGGAACUCGGGUGGCAUGAGCCUCUGGGUGGACAAAUAUCGGCCCUGCUCCUUGGGGCAGCUGGACUAUCACAAAGAGCAGGCGGCCCAGCUGCGCAACUUGGUGCAAUGUGGUGACUUUCCUCAUUUAUUAGUGUAUGGACCAUCAGGUGCAGGAAAAAAGACAAGAAUUAUGUGUAUUCUACGUGAACUGUAUGGUGUUGGCGUGGAAAAAUUGAGAAUUGAACAUCAGACCAUCACAACUCCAUCUAAAAAGAAAAUUGAAAUCAGCACUAUCGCAAGCAAUUACCACCUUGAAGUCAAUCCCAGUGAUGCUGGAAAUAGUGACCGGGUAGUAAUUCAGGAGAUGUUAAAAACAGUGGCGCAAUCACAGCAACUUGAAACAAACUCUCAAAAAGAUUUUAAAGUGGUAUUAUUGACAGAGGUUGACAAACUCACUAAGGAUGCUCAGCAUGCCUUGCGCAGAACCAUGGAAAAAUAUAUGUCCACCUGCAGAUUGAUCUUGUGUUGCAAUUCUACAUCCAAAGUGAUACCACCUAUUCGUAGUCGGUGUCUAGCAGUUCGUGUGCCAGCUCCCAGCAUUGAAGAUAUUUGCCAUGUGUUGUCUACUGUGUGUAAGAAGGAAGGUCUGAGUCUUCCGUCACAGCUGGCUCGUAAACUUGCGGAGAAGUCCUGCAGAAAUCUCAGAAAAGCCCUGCUUAUGUGUGAAGCCUGCAGAGUACAACAGUAUCCUUUUACGGUAGAUCAAGAAAUCCCUGAAACUGACUGGGAGGUGUAUCUGAGGGAGACUGCCAAUGCUAUUGUCAGUCAGCAGACUCCACAAAGGCUCCUUGAAGUUCGUGGAAGACUCUAUGAGCUUCUAACUCAUUGUAUUCCUCCUGAAAUAAUAAUGAAGGGCCUUCUCUCAGAACUUUUACAUAAUUGUGACGGACAGCUGAAAGGGGAGGUGGCCCAGAUGGCAGCUUACUACGAACAUCGCCUACAACUUGGUAGCAAAGCCAUUUAUCACUUGGAAGCUUUUGUGGCGAAAUUCAUGGCACUUUAUAAGAAGUUCAUGGAGGAUGGAUUGGAAGGCAUGAUAUUUUGACAUCUGUCAGUGAUUCUUCCUAAUAUUUCUCAGUAUCAGCAUUUAUAUUCAAUUUAAUUUGGAAGAUCUGCAGAUUCUGGUGGGGACUACUUUUCAGCUGCCUGCCGCUGGACCCAGGAGGGAGCAAAAGAGCCAAGACUGGUGUAGAGUGUGGUCUCAUGAAGGUGGCCUCAUGAGAGUUCUCCUGAGGUGGACAGCCACAACUUUUGCUGACCAUAGGCUCUGAUGGAAGACAUUGUCACAUAUUGAGAUGGCAGCUGGAGAUCCGGACCGCGUGGUCGCGUUCUAUGACGGCAGCAGAAAGAAGGAAACUUUACAGAAGAUCUCCUAACAGAGAGAGAAGAUGUUCUCGCUUUCAAAGUAAUGAUGUAUAGAGGAAUUGAAGAAAACCUAAGGUGGACAUGUUUCCGUAGCAUCGUUUGUUGAAGAGAUUAUCCUGUUCCCAUUGUGUAUUUGUGGCACCCUUGCUAAAGAUACUGAUAUCACACAAGUAUGUAGCUGUCAAACCUGCUCAUCUUUGGGGAUUCAUAUUGCAUUUUUUACAAAUUGAAGGUGUGUGACAACCCUGCAUCAGGCAUUUUCCCAACAGCACUGUUUUUAAAUUAAGGUAUGUACAUUGUUUUUAUAGACACAAUGCCAUUGAGCACUUAAUAGACUGCAGUACAGUAUAAACAUAACUUCUGUGGUCACUGGGAAACCAAAAAAAAUUAAUGUGACUUGGUUUAUUGUGAUACUUACUUUAUUGUGGUAGUUGAGACCAGAAUUUGCAAUAGCUCUGUGGGAUACCUGUAUUAGAGAUGUAUAGGAAAUACAGAGAAUCAGCAAAAUAAACAGGAGCCAAGGUCAUGCACAGGAACAAUGCAUACUGCAUAUGCGCCACUGCUGUUGAGAUGAAUGUCUCUAACCAUUUUCAAAUUCUUGCAUCAUUUUCUCAAGAUUUGAAGUUUUAGAAAAAAUAAUCAUAUUGGCAAAAUCUAAGUGAGUUCUUACCCCCUGAGUCCUAGAAGGAAAGGAGCAAGAGCUUCAGGGCCCCUUAAUUUUUUGCAGUGGAUGUGAGGUAUUGUCGCCAUCAAGAUGGUCAUGAUUGAGGAUUCUUUAUUAGGGAGAUACAGUAUGAUUAGGAAGGAGGGAAGUGGUGAGAGUCUGGACAGUCAUAAAAUAACACAAAUCCAUGACAGCUUCAUGGAAGAGUUGAGAUCCAUGGAGACGGUAGCAGUGAAAAAGCAAAAAUAAAGUAGAAGCUGAAUUCAAGAAUCAGAAAUAGAAAAAUAUAGGUUAUUUAUUCAUUAUCAGAGACAAAAUAUACAUCACAGAGAGGAGAACUGAGUUCUGGACAGCCAGAGUGGCCUUUUCGUCACCAGGACUCUCUCAGGCUAACUAGACCCACUGCUGUGCUCCUGACAGCAAUGACUGUUCCUAUUGUUCAUGAGGCCUGGAUUUAUGGCAGAGAUGAUAAUUCUCUCUCCCUUUUUAUUCCCAUAUGCAUUUACAAUGAAGUCAUCAUUACACAAAGAAACUGAAUGUGUCUGUUCUUGAUAUGUGAAAGAACAGACCAAACCCUGCUCCAUUAAGUAGUGAGGAAGCUAUGCCAGGGCCAGGAAGUGCUGGAAGCCCUCCAAGCCCUGUAGGUCUCUUGGUUACAGGGACUGUGGGAUUCCCAUCCAUAAUCUCACCUGGAAUCUCCAAAUAAUUCCCACCUACACUAGGCUUUCUGUUCUGGGGCUUCAUUUUAAGAGAUGGGGAAGAAGACAGCAAUAGUCUGACU